AGAAAUCACAAAAACAACUAAAUUUUAUUAUCAUAAUUUCUACAGCAAAAGAUUCUUUCUUUAAUCUAAAAACAGUAAGUUAUAGUAAAUGAAACUCAUGCUGGUUAAUGUUAGCAUGCUAACACUUGGCCAUGAUACUACCACCACCAUGCUUCACUGAUGAGGUCAUGAUACCACCACCACCAUGCUUCACUGAUGAGGCCAUGAUACUACCACCACCAUGCUUCACUGAUGAGGCCAUGAUACUACCACCACCAUGCUUCACUGAUGAGGCCAUGAUACCACCACCACCAUGCUUCACUGAUGAGGCCAUGAUACUACCACCACCAUGCUUCACUGAUGAGGCCAUGAUACUACCACCACCAUGCUUCUCUGAUGAGGCCAUGAUACUACCACCACCAUGAUACACUGAUGAGGCCAUGAUACUACCACCACCAUGAUACACUGAUGAGGCCAUGAUACUACCACCACCAUGCUUCACUGAUGAGGUUGUGAUACGACCACCACCAUGCUUCACUGAUGAGGCCAUGAUACUACCACCACCAUGCUUCACUGAUGAGGCCAUGAUACUACCACCACCAUGCUUCACUGAUGAGGCCAUGAUACUACCACCACCAUGCUUCACUGAUGAGGCCAUGAUACUACCACCACCAUGCUUCACUGAUGAGGCCAUGAUACUACCACCACCAUGCUUCACUGAUGAGGCCAUGAUACUACCACCACCAUGCUUCACUGAUGAGGCCAUGAUACUACCACCACCAUGCUUCACUGAUGAGGCCAUGAUACUACCACCACCAUGCUUCUCUGAUGAGGCCAUGAUACCACCACCACCAUGCUUCACUGAUGAGGCCAUGGUACUACCACCACCAUGCUUCACUGAUGAGGCCAUGAUACUACCACCACCAUGCUUCACUG